UAGGGAAUCUUCCGCAAUGGACGAAAGUCUGACGGAGCAACGCCGCGUGAGUGAAGAAGGAUUUCGGUUCGUAAAACUCUGUUGUUAGGGAAGAAAAAAUGUAUAGAAACUAUAUACAAAAGAGACGGUACCUAACCAGAAAGCCACGGCUAACUACGUGCCAGCAGCCGCGGUAAUACGUAGGUGGCAAGCGUUGUCCGGAAUUAUUGGGCGUAAAGCGCGCGCAGGUGGUUUAGAAAGUCUGAUGUGAAAGCCCACGGCUCAACCGUGGAGGGUCAUUGGAAACUAAUAAACUUGAGUGCAGGAGAGAAAAGUGGAAUUCCUAGUGUAGCGGUGAAAUGCGUAGAGAUUAGGAGGAACACCGGUGGCGAAAGCGGCUUUUUGGCCUGCAACUGACACUGAGGCGCGAAAGCGUGGGGAGCAAACAGG
rnacentral:rRNA from 1 species